GAUGAAGAACGCAGCGAAAUGCGAUACUUGGUGUGAAUUGCAGAAUCCCGUGAACCAUCGAAUCUUUGAACGCACAUUGCGCCCGCCAGUAUUCUGGCGGGCAUGCCUGUCUGAGCGUCAUUUCAACCCUCAUGCCCCUAGGGCGUGGUGUUGGGGAUCGGCCAAAGCCCGCGAGGGACGGCCGGCCCCUAAAUCUAGUGGCGGACCCGUCGUGGCCUCCUCUGCGAAGUAGUGAUAUUCCGCAUCGGAGAGCGAUGAGCCCCUGCCGUUAAACCCCCAACUUUCCAAGGUUGACCUCAGAUCAGGUAGGAAUACCCGCUGAACUUAAGCAUAUCAAUAAGCGGAGGA
rnacentral:misc_RNA from 1 species